rnacentral:lncRNA from 1 species
UUGUAUUCAGAAAGUCUUUUUUACACCAAAUAACCCACUUUGCCACUUAACCCUCCAAACAAAUGUAGAUCUGAUGAUACAGUUAUGUGAAAAUGCACAUCAACUUUGUGUGAUUAUUUCCAUUUGCAAGAAUCGAAAGCUUGAAUUAGCCUCCAGGUCGGUCAACGGAACAGACAAUUAACAUUAAAGGAAGAGACCAGUUUGUGCUAGAGUACAACACUGCAGUAAAGCGUACAGCAGCUAAAUCCCCACCUAGCAUAGAAUCUUGCAAAGCUUGAAAGGGGCACACUUAUUUUGAUUGGUAGCAACCCGCACACAAACUGCCAUAGAAUGGCGGCCAACUCUGUAAGAGUCGUUCUCCUCGACCAAAAGCAACAAAUCAUGGCGGGCCCUAUGACCAAAGCUAGUCAAUUGCGGUAGUCGUCUUGCUUGUACAGUUGCACUAACGACCAAGCCAUGGAGAGUUAGACUUGUCAUGCCACGACCGAUUGUCUCGGUAGUACGCCUUCAUUAUGCCCUGAUGAUGCAUGCAUUAGGCAUUUGAGUUCACUGAAUAUAAUUUCUUCCAUUAGAAGAAAACAAAUGGAAUAAAUGUUAAAACAAGUCAAACAAAUGGAAUAAAUGUUAAUUUCUUCCACUGAGCAAACUAGCAAGAGCUCAAAAAUAAAGUAGCAAUUAAUUUUAGUGGUUUACCGUGAUUUUACUAGAAGGAUUUCAUCCUAUACAGUUCAAUGGCCUACAGACCAUAUGGUUUUGUCUACACAGCUCGCCCAUCCCACCCCACCCCGGAUCAACAACCACCAAGUGAUGCUUUUUCUAAAGCUAUAUAUAUACACGGUCUUAGGGCUCUCCGGGACUCCAAACUGUACCCCGAUACCUUCAUUAGAGUGAGGUAGAGAAAGAGAACUAGGGCUCUCCCACUCUGAUAAGAUUGUGGGCGAGGAAACCAUAGCUGCUACCGACAUGGUUUGGGCAUGUCACACCCGGUUUUGAAACAAAACCAAGUGCUACCUAUAUUUAUGUCAGGAUUAGUUUCAUACAUAUAGUGACAUCAUUAGUGAAUAACAAUAACUAUAUCACAUGAAAAGAUAUAGAGUCCAUCAGAGAUUUACAGCUUAAUCCGGGAAACGAAGGUUCCAAACUUCACAGGCAAUCGAUCAGGGCUUGCGUAUGCCUAGAACUCAACACCAUCUUCACAACAACUUCAUAGCAGCUUCUUCUGAGUAACGUUGGUUAUAGCAAGGGUGAGCAUUUGUAAUACUCAGUGAGUGUGGGGAACAUAUGAAUGCAAGGCUUAAACAAGGAAAAGGUUGACUAGUUGACUGCAUUAGACAUUUUUAGUUGGUCAAAUUUUAUUAGCAUCUGAACCCAAUCAAUUUACAAACCACACACCAACGCGAAGCAAUACAAGCCACCAAGCAUACAUGAUGUAGGGUAUUGCUCUCCGGAGGUUCGAACUUAUCUUAAAUCCUAUUGUCUCUUAUGUUCUCACGAUCACAUUCGAGUUCUUGGUUUCGCAACCUCCUCCACCUACAAAUCAACCACUUGGGUAACUCCCUGGUGGACUGUUGGGCUUAUAAAUCUAACAACAUUAGUCAAAUUAACAUUAGUAUGAAAACACGGGGUUAAACUCUAAUUAGAUUUUAAUUAGAAAAACAACUAUGUAAGUACUUAAUCAUAUUUAGUAUUUAAAAGAAAUUACAAAACAGGGAAUAUGAUUGAAAUUGCCUCUAACACGUAUUUUAAGUUGAUAUGAAUCUAACACAACAAGAACCGAUUGAAACGGAGCUAAAACGUAGAAUCUAUUUGCUAAACAAGCCGCAGGUGUCUAAACGUGAUUAACCGAAGGUGACAGGGGCCAACAAGGAAGUUUUAUAAGACACUAUAAAUACUGCUCACAAAAUUGAUAAGGCUCAGGGUUAGAUCUACUAAAAGUCACGGCUUCGAUUAGUUUGCAAAGAAUCUUAAGCUUCUAGGGGUUAUCAGCAAAUUUACCAAGACACAAAGAAGAAACUAAGGAUUACAGAAUAGACCGGGUGUCUAUCUGCAAAAGCUCAAAGCUGGCUAUGGCGGAUGGGAGGUCUGGGCUUUCCAGUCGCCGGCGCAGUAGAACGAAAUUAAGUGCUCAAGUGUACGAGUCACCAUCACAUGGCAGUUUUUAUGAUACCCUCGAAGCAAGAUAAGUACUUACCACAAAAUACUACACAUGCACGUGUUUCGUGAUGUAAGCAUAUAUGCCGUCACCAAAUCAAUGUAUAUAAGGUAAUAAUUCACGCUGUGUUUAAUUUUUUCCACGCUUCCAUAUAGCCUCCAAAAGGCAUGUCUAGUCAUGGUCACUCUAACGAAACUAUCCGUAUACUUUUCCGUGUUGCUUAACUUCACACAUUCUAUAGCUCUCAACAACCACCGGGCGUUGCUUUUUCCCUACAUAUACAUACAGCCUCAGGGUUCUCAAGGACACAAACUGUGUACAUUCCAUUGGAGUGAGCUAGGUAGAGAAGUGUACAGAGCCUUCAGAAACCAAAUCUGCAGCCAACAUGGAUGUGGCACCGAGUCCUCCCACACCCAGUCCCUAUACCAAAGAUCAGUGCCUUAAAGAUAAUGCAGAUAGCGUAAAAUUUUUUGUCAUCCUGGCCGUUCUCGCCAUGUUCCUCCUGCACGUACUGGGUUCCUUACGCCGGCGGUCGAGCCACACGCUCCUCCAUUCUAUCGUGAUGGGAGUCUACACGCUCUCCUAUCCGCUGGUGGGCUAUACCGUUGGGCUGAUGAAAUCUUCCAAUUUCUACUACGAAGACUUCACUGUGUGGGCAGUGUUCCUUCUUCUGCUCCUCGGCAGCACGGACAACCUCACGGUUUGCCGCCUUAGCGACAACGACAACUGGAAGAGCAUCCACUUCAAACACAUCCUUAAGGGAUUCUGGCUGGUGCUAAUCAUUAUGACGAUUACAAAUUAUGAGAAUAACAUCUACGGCAACAAACUUCUCUACAGGUAUCCGUUGUAUGCCAUCGUGUUGGUCGUCAUCCUCAAGGGGUAUGUGAGGAUCGCUUCCAUGAGGAUGGUGAGCAAAUCCUAUGUCUGCAAGAAGGUUAAGGUGAUCGCCGAAUAUAUGCAGCAGCAGCACAAGGACAACCUGGCGGUGCCCUUCGAUCCUGUGACCAUGGAAGGCUACCGGUACAUCGUCGCUGGCGAGAAGUACUGCAUCAAGCGGUGGUCUGGUUGCACACCAUGUUACAAGGGGGGCGACUUAAUGGUUAUCACCGUGGAGAAGAUCUGGCAGUGCACAGGGAGGCUGCUGGUCCAUGAGCGGGGCAAGGUGCUCAAGGACUUGUGCCUCUCUGUGGCACUCUCCAAGAUGCUCAACCGAAGGUUUAUUGGCUUCAGACUCUCAGAGGCGGGGCAUGAGAAAGCCCAUGACUUUGUGUUCAAAGGCCUGCUCGCCGGGGACAAGCCACAUCAGAGGGCCUUCAGGGUCAUCGAGGAAGAGCUUGUUUUUGUCCAUGACUUAUAUUACACAAGGUAUUCUUACCUUUACCAAAAGGGUCGAUACAUUGCCCUCUGUCUGCCCAUCGUCAUGCUUGGCUUAUGCUCGUGGCUCACCUAUCUGCUCGUCAAGUACUCCGAGAGUAACUCUGUGCAGGCUGCCACCUCAUUUGUAACUGUUGUCGUGGGAUUCCUGGAGGCAUGCCAGCUCUACCUGUACAUAUCCUCAGGUUGGUUCAAGGUGGCACUAAUACAGAGCUACAUAAACACACCAUUUUUGCGAAGAAGCCGUUGCCUUGAGUUGAUCAUAGGCCUUCUUUUGAGGUUGAAGGCGUUUGCACCAUGGAAACGCAAUCUUGGGCAGUACUGUAUCCUCCAGGAGGUUGGCCGCAAACAUAGGGUUAGGAAUUGUCUCCAUUAUGCUACGCUGCGCCUGCUGGACAAGGCUAGUAAGAAUGGACUUAAGAAAUCAGAAAAGGUGUCCGAAAAUGUGAAGAAAGCCAUCGUUGAUUCCCUGUUAGGAAGCAACGGCAACCUGACGAAUGGGGUAACAUCGCUGCAAAACAAUGGCGUCAAUUUUCUCUCAUGGGCAUGCGAUGCUAGUACUACUGACGGAGCGGUGGCUCGCACCAUUGUGGUCUGGCACAUUGCUACAACCCUGUGCGAGCAGAAGCUGAAUAAGCAAGCCAAAGAAGAAGACGCUGUCAAAACGGCCUCCACUUUAUCCAAGUACUGCAUGCAUCUCCUUGCUUUUGCACCUAACCUCAUGCCCGACCACAUCUUCAUAUCAGAAUCCAUACUUGAUCAGUCAAUCGACGAAGCAAGCAAGUUACUCAAAGACGCCAAGGACAAGAAGAUCAAGGGCAAGAACAAGAAGAUCGAGGGCAGGUGUGAGAUACUAAUGGAAAUUAACACCCAUGGUUGUGUUGGUGAUGAAAAAAAGCUUGUUGUGCAGGGCGUUCACCUUGCAAGGCAACUGAUUGAUAACAUACAAGACUUCAAUACACGGUGGAAGGUGCUAUCUCAUUUCUGGGCGGAGAUGAUGCUGUAUGUCUCGCCAUCCGACGAUGCUCGGGAGCACCUGGAAGUUCUUGCAAAAGGAGGGGAGUUCAUCACGCACCUUUGGGCGCUGCUCACGCAUGCCGGUGUGUUGAAGCGAGGACCUAUAGAGCCAAAGGAUGUUGUGUGAUCUGUCCAACCAGUGCACAAGUAACACUCCAUAUAUAUAUCAACCUGUGCUUGUAAGUUGUAACAUCCUAUGUAUAUUGC